CCUACGGGAGGCAGCAGUGGGGGAUAUUACACAAUGGGGGAAACCCUGAUGCAGCGACGCCGCGUGGGUGAAGAAGCGCCUCGGCGCGUAAAGCCCUGUCAGCAGGGAAGAAAAUGACGGUACCUGAAGAAGAAGCCCCGGCUAACUACGUGCCAGCAGCCGCGGUAAUACGUAGGGGGCAAGCGUUAUCCGGAUUUACUGGGUGUAAAGGGGGCGCCGGCGGCGAUGCAAGCCAGGAGUGAAAGCCCGGGGCCCAACCCCGGGACUGCUCUUGGAACUGCGUGGCUAGAGUGCAGGAGGGGCAGGCGGAAUUCCUGGUGUAGCGGUGAAAUGCGUAGAUAUCAGGAGGAACACCGGUGGCGAAGGCGGCCUGCUGGACUGCAACUGACGUUGAGGCCCGAAAGCGUGGGGAGCAAACAGGAUUAGAUACCCCUGUAGUC
rnacentral:rRNA from 1 species